rnacentral:lncRNA from 1 species
AAAACAUCAUCCUACCAGCUCUUUUAGUUGUUAAAUAUCCCUGUGCUUGUGGCUACAUUUCUUUGCACUGGAGAAAUGAUCUCAUUAACAAACUAGUUCUGUGCGUCCUUAACACUGAGGCCCCUCGCCUGCAGCUGGAGGCAGCUCUCUGUUCAGCCCCAGUGCAGAGUGACACAGACAGGCGACAGCGUCGCUGAGCACCAACUUCUAUUCCACGGAGGCAGACAGCGAAAACCAUUUCAUAACCAUGGCAAGGCAUGAGAGAAGCACAGGAAAGCAGUGGCCAUGUAUGUCAUGAGGACAUUCCAGUAACCCCAUGUGGUAAGGAACCAAGUCAGCCUGCCAACAACCACUGAAAAACUGAGCCCUCCUGCUGACAGCCAUGUGAGAGGAACACCUGGGAAGUGGAUCCUCCAGGCCUGGUCAUACUUCAGAUGACUGCAGCCCAAGCCAACAUCUUGCUUGAGUGGAGCCUCAUGAGUGACUCAGUCAAAACCACACAGCUGAGAUAUUUCCAACCCACAGAUACUGAGAUAAUAAAUGUUUAUUGCUACUAGGUUUCCUUCCUUCCUUCCUUCCUUCCUUUUUCUCUUCUCUUCUCCUUCCUUCCUUCCUCCCUCCCUCUCCUCCUCCUCCGUCUUCUUCCUCUUCCUCUUCUUCCUCUUCCCCUUCCCCUUCCUCUUCCUCCUUCUUUCUUUCUUACUUUCUUUCUCUUUCUUUCUUUCUUUCUCUAUGAAAAUAUCAGGUGUACUAUAUUUUACCUGCCUUCAUGUAUAUUUGAAUAAUUCCAUAAUAAAACUUUUUAAAAU